GACGAACGCUGGCGGCGUGCCUAAUACAUGCAAGUAGAACGCUGAAGCUUGGUGCUUGCACCGAGCGGAUGAGUUGCGAACGGGUGAGUAACGCGUAGGUAACCUGCCUGGUAGCGGGGGAUAACUAUUGGAAACGAUAGCUAAUACCGCAUAAGAGUAGAUGUUGCAUGACAUUUGCUUAAAAGGUGCAAUUGCAUCACUACCAGAUGGACCUGCGUUGUAUUAGCUAGUUGGUGAGGUAACGGCUCACCAAGGCAACGAUACAUAGCCGACCUGAGAGGGUGAUCGGCCACACUGGGACUGAGACACGGCCCAGACUCCUACGGGAGGCAGCAGCAGGGAAUCUUCGGCAAUGGACGGAAGUCUGACCGAGCAACGCCGCGUGAGUGAAGAAGGUUUUCGGAUCGUAAAGCUCUGUUGUAAGAGAAGAACGAGUGUGAGAGUGGAAAGUUCACACUGUGACGGUAUCUUACCAGAAAGGGACGGCUAACUACGUG
rnacentral:rRNA from 1 species